GACGAACGCUGGCGGCGUGCCUAAUACAUGCAAGUAGAACGCUGAAGGAGGAGCUUGCUUCUCUGGAUGAGUUGCGAACGGGUGAGUAACGCGUAGGUAACCUGCCUGGUAGCGGGGGAUAACUAUUGGAAACGAUAGCUAAUACCGCAUAAGAGUAGAUGUUGCAUGACAUUUGCUUAAAAGGUGCACUUGCAUCACUACCAGAUGGACCUGCGUUGUAUUAGCUAGUUGGUGGGGUAACGGCUCACCAAGGCGACGAUACAUAGCCGACCUGAGAGGGUGAUCGGCCAGACUGGGACUGAGACACGGCCCAGAGUCCUAAGGGAGGCAGCAGUAGGGAAUCUUCGGCAAUGGACGGAAGUCUGACCGAGCAACGCCGCGGGAGUGAAGAAGGGUGUCGGAUUGUAAAGCUCUGUUGUAAGAGAAGAACGAGUGUGAGAGUGGAAAGUUCACACUGUGACGGUAGCUUACCAGAAAGGGACGGCUAACUACGUG
rnacentral:rRNA from 1 species